rnacentral:rRNA from 1 species
GAUGAACGCUGGCGGCGUGCCUAAUACAUGCAAGUCGAGCGAACGGACGAGAAGCUUGCUUCUCUGAUGUUAGCGGCGGACGGGUGAGUAACACGUGGAUAACCUACCUAUAAGACUGGGAUAACUUCGGGAAACCGGAGCUAAUACCGGAUAAUAUUUUGAACCGCAUGGUUCAAAAGUGAAAGACGGUCUUGCUGUCACUUAUAGAUGGAUCCGCGCUGCAUUAGCUAGUUGGUAAGGUAACGGCUUACCAAGGCAACGAUGCAUAGCCGACCUGAGAGGGGGAUCGGCCACACGGGAACUGAGACACGGUCCAGACUCCUACGGGAGGCAGCAGUAGGGAAUCUUCCGCAAUGGGCGAAAGCCUGACGGAGCAACGCCGCGUGAGUGAUGAAGGUCUUCGGAUCGUAAAACUCUGUUAUUAGGGAAGAACAUAUGUGUAAGUAACUGUGCACAUCGUGACGGUACCUAAUCAGAAAGCCACGGCUAACUACGUG